UGCCGCGUGUGUGAUGAAGGCCUUAGGGUUGUAAAGCGCUUUCACCGGAAAAGAUAAUGACCGUUUCCGGAGAAGAAGCCCCGGCUAACUUCGUGCCAGCAGCCGCGGUAAUACUAAGGGGGCUAGCGUUGUUCGGAAUUACUGGGCGUAACGCGCACCUAAGCUGAUGGAUCUAUCAGGGGUGAAAUCCCGCAUCUCAACUGCUUAACUGCCUUUGAUACUGUCGGUCUAAAUUAUGGAAGAGGUGAGUGGAAUUCCGAGUGUAGAAGUGAAAUUCAAAUAUAUUCGGAGGAACACCAUUGGCGAAUGCGGCUCAGUGGUCCAUUACUGACGCUGAUGUGCUAAAGCGUGGGGAGCACACAGGAUUAAAUACCCGGGUAGUCCACGCCAUAAACUAUGAAGGUUAUCCGUCCGGCAGUUUACUGUUCGGUGGCGCAGCUUACGCAUUAAACAUUCCGCCUGGGGAGUACGGUCGCAAGAUUAACACUCAAAGGCAUUGACGGGGGUCCGCACCAGCGGUGGAGCAUGUGACUUAAUUCGAAGCAGCACGAAGAACCUUACCUCCUCUCGACAUCCCGAUCGCGGACUGUGGAUACCUUGUCCUUCA
rnacentral:rRNA from 1 species